AACGAACGCUGGCGGCAUGCCUAACACAUGCAAGUCGAACGAGACCUUCGGGUCUAGUGGCGCACGGGUGCGUAACGCGUGGGAACCUGCCCUUAGGUUCGGAAUAACUCCCCGAAAGGGGUGCUAAUACCGGAUAAUGUCUUCGGACCAAAGAUUUAUCGCCUUUGGAUGGGCCCGCGUUGGAUUAGCUAGUUGGUAGGGUAAAAGCCUACCAAGGCGACGAUCCAUAGCUGGUCUGAGAGGAUGAUCAGCCACACUGGGACUGAGACACGGCCCAGACUCCUACGGGAGGCAGCAGUGGGGAAUAUUGGACAAUGGGCGAAAGCCUGAUCCAGCAAUGCCGCGUGAGUGAUGAAGGCCUUAGGGUUGCAAAGCUCUUUUACCCGGGAUGAUAAUGACAGUACCGGGAGAAAAAGCUCCGGCUAACUCCGUG
rnacentral:rRNA from 1 species